CCUACGGGAGGCAGCAGUAAGGAAUAUUGGUCAAUGGGCGCAAGCCUGAACCAGCCAUGCCGCGUGCAGGAAGACGGCCCUAUGGGUUGUAAACUGCUUUUGAACAAGAGAAAACCUCGGUACGUGUACCGAGCUGAUAGUAUUGUUAGAAUAAGCAUCGGCUAACUUCGUGCCAGCAGCCGCGGUAAGACGAAGGAUGCAAGCGUUAUCCGGAUUCAUUGGGUUUAAAGGGUGCGUAGGCGGCCUGAUAAGUCAGUGGUGAAAUCUCUCAGCUUAACUGAGAAACUGCCAUUGAUACUGUCGGGCUUGAGUACAGAUGAUGUGGGCGGAAUAUGACAUGUAGUGGUGAAAUACUUAGAUAUGUCAUAGAACACCGAUUGCGAAGGCAGCUCACAAAACUGUAACUGACGCUGAGGCACGAAAGUGCGGGGAUCAAACAGGAUUAGAUACCCUGGUAGUCCGCACCGUAAACGAUGAUUACCUGUUGUUGGCAAAUAUGACGUCAGCGACAACGACGAAGACGAGAAGUAAGUACCACCCGUACGGGUAGGUACGGACCCGGCCGAACCGGUACGGUAAACGUUAAAACGUUAAAGUAAGUUAGGUUACGGCGUUAGAGACGACGACGGACGGACGACGACGGAGGGAGGGAGG
rnacentral:rRNA from 1 species